CAAACACUCAGGUCCCCCGUGACUGGAUGCGUCACACACUAUGUCUAACAGUCGCUGACAUCUCAUCAAUCACGGCCUUGAUUAUGCUGCUGGGGUCCCUGGGCUCAACUUUGGGCUCUGAACAGAAUUUACUGCAAACUGAACAUCCUUAUUUCCAACGUAGGCAAGCCCGUCUUGUUUAUAAUGGCAUAAUCCAGCUGGAAGAUCACACUGGCACACUCAAAUUGGCCCAUCUUUUCUCUUGUCAAUAUUGCAAUUAGGUGCACAUCCGGCAUCAGAAAUUGCUGGGACCUUUUUCUCUCCUGCACUCUCCCACCGUUUAUUACAACUGAAGGACACAUUUUGUUGUCCCUGAGAGUGAUGUAUUUGAGGAAAGGCUAUGACUCAGUGUAUGACAAUUAAAGAGGAAAGGACAUUGGUAAUGAUUAACUAGCUUGUCUACAUGAUGUGAGGCUGUUUGUCAACUAACAUUGAUUGAGCCAGUAGUCUGUGACCAGCCAUGUGUGAGACUCUACUGGGAAACACAGAUCAUUUGGCCUAUCAUGUUAUACAGUCAGUCCCUUUGGAUGUAAGAUGCAGAGACCCAUCCAGAUGAGAAUAACAUAACACAGGAUGAGAGCAUCGCUUGCCAUAGACCACAGGUCUGGGUGUCAGCAGGGAGAUUUGAGGGUAGGAGAUCAGGCUCCAGAGUCCAUGCUACCCACACUUUGAUGGAUAAGCAGGAAAUGAACAUGAAUAAACAGG
rnacentral:lncRNA from 1 species